AAUCAACGCUGGCGGCGUGCCUCAGACAUGCAAGUCGAACGAUUAAACUUUCCUUCGGGAAAGAUAUAAAGUGGCGCACGGGUGAGUAACACGUAGGUAAUGUACCUUUGGGUGGGGAAUAACCAUCGGAAACGAUGGCUAAUACCGCAUAAUGCAGCGGCAUCGCAAGAUGACAGUUGUUAAAGAUUUAUCGCCUAAAGAGCAGCCUGCGGCAGAUUAGGAGUUGGUAAGGUAAUGGCUUACCAAGCCUGCGAUCUGUAACCGACCUGAGAGGGUGGUCGGUCACACUGACACUGAAUAACGGGUCAGACUCCUACGGGAGGCAGCAGUCGGGAAUUUUGGGCAAUGGGCGAAAGACCUGACCCAGCAACGCCGCGUGAAGGACGAAGUCUUUCGGGA
rnacentral:rRNA from 1 species